rnacentral:rRNA from 1 species
GAUCUUGGUUCAGGACGAACGCUGGCGGCGUGCCUAAUACAUGCAAGUCGAACGGUCUUUUCUAUGGAAGCUUGCUUCCACUGAGAAGAUAGUGGCGAACGGGUGAGUAACACGUGGGUAACCUGCCCAUAAGAGGGGGAUAACAUCCGGAAACGGGUGCUAAUACCGCAUAGUUUUCUUGAUCGCAUGAUCGGGAAAGGAAAGACGGCCUUUGUGCUGUCGCUUAUGGAUGGACCCGCGGCGUAUUAGUUAGUUGGUGAGGUAACGGCUCACCAAGACGAUGAUACGUAGCCGACCUGAGAGGGUGAUCGGCCACAUUGGGACUGAGACACGGCCCAAACUCCUACGGGAGGCAGCAGUAGGGAAUCUUCCGCAAUGGACGAAAGUCUGACGGAGCAACGCCGCGUGAGUGAAAGAAGGUUUUCGGAUCGUAAAACUCUGUUGUCAGAGAAGAACAAGUUGGAGAGUAACUGCUCCAGCCUUGACGGUAUCUGACCAGAAAGCCACGGCUAACUACGUGCCAGCCGCCGC